AGUGAACGCUGGCGGUAGGCCUAACACAUGCAAGUCGAACGGCAGCACAGUAAGAGCUUGCUCUUACGGGUGGCGAGUGGCGGACGGGUGAGGAAUACAUCGGAAUCUACUUUUUCGUGGGGGAUAACGUAGGGAAACUUACGCUAAUACCGCAUACGACCUACGGGUGAAAGCAGGGGAUCUUCGGACCUUGCGCGAUUGAAUGAGCCGAUUUUGGAUUAGCUAGUUGGCGGGGUAAAGGCCCACCAAGGCGACGAUCCGUAGCCGGUCUGAGAGGAUGGUCAGCCACACUGGAACUGAGACACGGUCCAGACUCCUACGGGAGGGAGCAGUGGGGAAUAUUGGACAAUGGUCGCAAGCCUGGUCCAGCCAUACCGCGUGGGUGAAGAAGGCCUUCGGGUUGUAAAGCCCUUUUGUUGGGAAAGAAAAGCAGCAGGUUAAUACGCCGCUGUUCUGACGGUACCCAAAGAAUAAGCACCGGCUAACUUCGUG
rnacentral:rRNA from 1 species